rnacentral:lncRNA from 1 species
AGUAAUAAGUUUCACAAUACGAUAACAAAUUCAGAGUGUUUGCAGCGGAAAAACGUGUGAGUUAUGCAUAUGGAGAUGCAUACUCAAGGUUUCAUUACAUAUCCAUCAAAAGAAUUCCCGCUCAACACCAAACCAUUCCAUCGCCUGCUCAACCUGCACAUUUAGAAAUACAUGCAGGGCUGAGUAUAAAAAUACUCAGUAGCAUAGCCGAAAUACAACAUGCAUACAAAUAUAAAUUGAACUGCCAACAGUAACACACAGGGGUUUUUCAUGAAAGACCCGCGCUUACUUAAAACAUUUCUAUCAUUUUCAUAAAGUCGAUCGGCCGAUCAUUUUCCAUCAUAUGAUCCAUAUCUGUUCCUUUCUGACACGCGCCGGGAAGGAGGCCUCCUUACCACGGACGCCAAGACCGGUCGGAAGCGACUCGCGGUCUCCAUGAGUGUACACGUUAACCCUAGCUAGCGACCUUUGUCUAGCAUAGGAUCCCAAUUGGAUUUCCUUUAAAGUUGGCGAACCAACACAGAUAGGAUACAUAUAAAAACAUAAACAUUUUCGGCAGUCAAUCAUUUCAUAAACAUUUCAUUUCAUUUCAUAAACAUUUCAUUUUCAUUUCAUAAGAGUCAUUUAUCAUUUGAGCAUAAUAUAAAACUGAAAUUAGCAGUUAAAAUCAUACAUGCAAUAUAUUCGUAUACGAGGCCUACGUCACGCAGGGGAUCUCUAUAUACGUAUAGUAAAGUAAUGCCCACCUUAAACGUUCUUAAAGCUGGCGUGGAGUCGCUUCCUCUUCGGCUUCACUUUCUAUCGCCCGGACCUUCAUUGAUGAAGAGUCGAUAAGUUCGUGAAGAAAUUGUCACAAGACAGAGUCUAAUUCUACGUGCCUAGGGUAUCUUUUAAGGUUUUAGGGUUCUAGCAUCCAUAAUCCGUUCCAUUAAGACAAUCGAAAACCAACAUAACCUUGACUAGUCAUGACCUCACGUAAAUCACAUAACAACAAGAUAAAAGAAAUUAAUAUCCUUAAACUUAAUAUCAUUUAGAAAUUCACAAGCUCACAUAAGAGAAACUUCAUUAUUCACUUACAUAAAAAUUAAAUCAAGAGAUUUUAAUUCACUAAAAUAAUUUAGUGAAAUUUCAAACACAUUUUUUUUUUUAAAGAAAUAAGGCUAAUAUUUUCGUAGGCUUUAUUAAUCGAUUAAUAACCCAAAAUUAAUUAAAAUGGGCCCAAUCAAUUAAAUAACACCCAUCAAGAUUUAAAGGCAAAAUGGGCCCAACAGAAUUUAAAAUAAAGUGUCCAGCAUUUAAAAUUCGGCCUACUGAUUUAAUGCAAAACUCGGCCCAAACAAUUUAAAUAAAACGGCCCAUUCCUUCUCUUUUCUUUAAAAUUUUCGGCCCAGCCAUUAGAGGCUUAAGCCCAAUUAAACAAAAACCUAAAUCUAUCAUAUAACACACACAACACACAAACACACACAUAAGCUCUUUCUCUCUCUCUAUCUCUCGGCUCUCUCUCUCUCCCGACUCUCUCUCUGCUCGGUCGAGUGCGGCGCCGCCUCCGGCGCGCCGCCUCGCCGAGCACCUCCCUUCCCCCUCUCAUCUCUCUGACCUCCUCCGUCCGCCUCCCUCUCUCUCUGUUCUCUCCCCCCUCGCCGGAAUCGAUGCAUGCGCCGCUUUGAUGACCGCCGCCGCCGCCUCGCCGUGAAGGAGCUCGGCCGCCGUCCGUCGCCGGAGAAGAUAAGUUCUCCCUCCUAUCUCUCUCUCUCCCUCCCCUGUUCUACCUUCUCUUCUCUUUUUUUUUUAUAUAGCAGCCCUAACCAUCUCUCUCUACCCUCUUCUCUUUCGUUUCAGACAGACGAAGGAAAAAGGCGGCGGCUGCCGCCGCGCCGCCUUCGGCCGUGAGCAGCCGCCGGCUGCUCUCACUCCUCCCUCCGUCCUCGGUCACACACACACUGUAACACCCCGUAUUUAGUUACCUUACAAUAGUAUCGAAAUACUAUCGAGAGUUAAGGACUAACACACUAGAGUCGAGAGGAAGUUAUCAAUGGAUGGUGAUGUGAGUAAGAUAGAGAUGAUAAGAUAAUUGAGAAUGAUGUUAGAUUGAGAUGUAGAUGUUAAUUGUUUUCGAGUCGAGACGAAGUGCGAGAGAUAGAGUCGAAGUAGUGAUCGAGAAUCACUAUAGAGAAGAUUAAGCUAGAAUGACCAUUAGACUAAUGGCGAGUGAUGAUCUGUUUAUAAUAUGAUACCUUGCGAGUUAAUUGUUUGAUGUUAUAUGAUUUAUUUGGUAUGUGCGCAUUUAUAUUAUUUGAGUCAGUAUAAUUUUCGUAAAUUAGCACAAAUGUUUGAUUACCGUCGCACACUUCUAUAUUCACCACCAUUAUUUUAUCCUUUUUCCCACAUGUGGAAAUAGCCGGUUUGAUUUGCUGCUAAGGGGAGACAAAUUACUAUUCAAGCAUUUAAUGCUUCUAAUCCUUUGGGAUAAGAAUAUUGUUAAAACCGAAGCGUCUCUCUCUCCGUCAUUUCUCAUCUUUUCGGCCAUCAACUUCUUCUCUCUCCCUCACGAUAUUCUCUCUCUCCUCCAUUGGAGACCAAGCUCAAAGCUUCACCAGUCACCACUGAGACCAAAUACUCCGCUAAAUCUAGCCUUAAACACUUUCCACGUUUGUUUCAAGAAGAUUUGUUGAAUUCUAACCGGAAGGAAUCGGGAAAAGACGUCUUUUUCUUGAAACUCUUUGCGUAAGUGUUCUGUUUUUGGAGUCUAGACUUGUGUGAGAAGUAUGUGGUGAUUUAUGUGAGUUUUAAGAUGUUUUAAGCAUGAGAAACUUCCCCUUCUCCUCUUUUCUUCAUUUUCGGAAAACUUGGGUUUGUGCCCUGUAAAAAUCCUUCUUUUCUUAAAACCGAGAUGAAAUGUGUUAUAUGUAUUGUUCAGUGUGUUAUGUGAUGUUUUGAAGUGAUUAGCAUGUGUUUUACAAAAUUUAGCCUUGAGCAUGAGUUUUUGCAAAACUGAGUCCGGAGAUGGAGUUUUUACAAAAUGAGUUUGAUAUGUGAUUUUGGGAAAAAUCUGUUAGUGAAGUCUUGUAUGAUGUUUUGGUGUGGAGUAAGGAUGUAUGAAGGAGUAAAUGUUUUUGAUGAUUUUGAGUUUGUAGAGUUCUUGAGUGAGUUAUGUUGAUGCAUGCUAAGUUUUGAUGUUUUUGAGUGUUUGAUGAUUUUUGAGGAUGACAAAGUUGACGAGUUUUUCGAGUUGCUCUUUAGGGCACUGUUCUGCCUUGAGCUUUGUUCUCGAACUGAGAAGUCUUUUCUCGGGCAUGCCAGAGAAUUCGUUUUCCCGCUGGCAUGCCAGAGAAAUCGUUUUCCCAAGUUUGCCAGGGAAGAUGUUUUCCCGGGGUAUCACAGAGAAUUCAUUUCCUCGCUGCCCUGCCAGCGAGUCCUUUUUCUCUGAAGUUCGAUUCCUCUGGAUUACCUCUGAUGUUUGAUUUCUCUGAGUCUUUUUUCUCUGACGUUUGAUUUCUCUGGUGUUUGAUUCCUCUGAUGUUUGAUUUCUCUGACGUCUGAUUCCUCUGACGUCUGAUUUCUCUGAUGAUUGAUUCCUCUGACGUCUGAUUUCUCUGACGAUCGACUCCUCUGAUGAUUGAUUUCUCUGACGUUUGAGUCCUCUGACGAUCGAGUCCUCUGACGAUCGAGUCCUCUGACGAUCGAGUCCUCUGAUGUUUGAUUCCUCUGACAUUUGAUUCCUCUGGCGACAGAGAGUUCGCCAUUCCUCUGGCGACAGAGAGUUCGCCAUUCCUCUGGCAUUUCUCCGCUGCUCUGCCAGAGAGUUCAUGUUUUCGCUGCCCGGGCAAGUUGAUUCCUCUGCCUUGGCAAGCAUUUCUCCGCUGUUUCGCCGAGCUAUCCCGCUCAACUCGACAGAGUUUUUCCACUCCGACCACCGAGCAUUCCUCUGCUCUGGUCCCCGAGUCAACUUAUGUUUCCUUACUUGUGUUAUGUUUUUGAGUUGUAUGCUUAAGUGUUUAUGCAUGCUUAUGUGCUUGAUUGCUUUUAAUCUAGCCUUCCAAGCGAAGUUAAGAAUAAGAUUAGAGUUUUAUCAUAGAGUCGAGUGAUUAGACGGAGAUAAGCUGAGAAUGUUUAUGAGGAGUGUUUUAUAGGAUUAAGGUUAAGCUUUUUGUGAGAAAGUUUCUAACAUAUCCCUCGCAACUACAGAGACCAAUCGAGGACGCAAGUGAAGGUCACAUCGAGUACCACCUACAGUAAGCUGAGCACUACAGGUGGGCAGUAUGUUGAGAAUAUGUUGAGUAUGAAAUCACCGAGUUUUCUAAAAUGAAUUAUUGAUGUUAUGAGCUUAUCAAAUGUUGAGUUAAAAUGAUGUUUAUGAACUGUUUGACUUGCCAAUAUUUCUAAUGAUGAACUUGUGUGUUACCCUCUACUGAUGAGACGAAUUCGGAUCCUGCCACAAGCGGGGUUGUGUACACAGAGGUGACUGAGAGCCGUCUUCGGGUCGGCCGGUCACGGUGCUUGAGAAGGAGGCCUACUUCUCAGUACCUUGAUGAUGAUAAAAUGUAGAUGCGGUACAUACAUGUUGAUUAUUUGUCUGCAGACACUCCUUUAUGAUGUUUGAUUAUGAAAACUGCAUACACAGCCUCUUUGACGUUAACUUAUUUUCUGUGUAUUGCUGAUGAUUAUGGCAAGCAUCAAACAUAUAGCUCUAAGAGCACUUUUCUUGUCUUUCGGCGCCUGCCCACUGAGUAUUAUGUACUCACGCCCUGCAUAUAUUUCUAAAUGUGCAGGUUAAGCAUGGACGGAGGAUGGUGUGGUGUUGGUGGGGAAAUCGUUGUUUCGAGUGAUCACCUUUUGAUGCUUUUUCGCCUCUAUGGCAGCAUGAUGUUUUUGAAGCUGUUCCUGGCUUAUUUAAGAAAUAGACUCUCGGCUAUAUGUCUUCAUACAUAUAGUACGAUCACCUUUUGUUGUGUAACUCUGUAUAUACUAGAAUCCCUGUACAUAUUUGAAUUACGACCCUUUUGAUUGUGUAACUCAAACUUCGAUGUUUGACUUUUAUGGAAAUGCCGAUGAUUAUAACCUAAAGGAAUGUUGAAGUUGUUAUGAGUUGUCUAUGCUUCCGCACAAAUGAGUUUAGUUUUACAGCCUUCGAUCCUUCUUUCAUUUAGUCGUAUCGAUACCCGGUCUACACCAUCACUGGCUAGGCGGCGGGCUGCGACACACACAGAGACACAAAACCCCAAGUUUCAGUCCAAAAUUUCAAAGUAGCAAAGUCAGGGUUUCUAUUUCAGUUCUUGUCUUUCCAUUUUUUUUUUUACAACAAACAUAGAUCUGUAAUUUCAUUAAUAAUAACAAUACAUGUAUGUGUUUGUGGGUGUGCUCUGUUGUGGAUUUUAUGGCAGAAAUAAGGAUGAAAUAGUCACAGAUGUAGAAGUUAUCAGUUUAGGGGAAACCUUGUGAAAAGGGGACGAAGAUUGUUCUGCAAAAGCAUUUGCACAAAUGUGAGACUGAGAUUUACAAUCUCGAAUAAUGAAAGGUUGGAUCAGAAAGUUGUCUUACCUGCACACUCGAUCGAAGAAGGCUUUUGAGGUUGAGUUUUCAAUAAAUGAGUGGCAAUUAUAUAUAGGAAAGAGUGGCUACGCGGAGGAGCCUCAUUCAUAAAAAUUUAUAUAUAGAAAAAAAAUCAAGGAAUCUGAUUAUUGUAGCUUGCUUGGAGAGGAGGAAAUUAUGAAAUGGGCCAAAUGGCUGUUGGAUUUUUAACGGGUUGGGCUUUUAAAUGGAUGCAUGUCAGAAAUUUAAAAUGGAUUAAUAAUACUCAUGAUCUUAAUAAAUAAAUAAAUAAAAAGAUCCUUAAAUAAAAUCAUUGAAAUAAAAUUUUGGUAAAACAAAACUUAUCCCAUUUAAAGGGAAUUUCAUGACUUCAUGUCCACUUUAAAAAAAAUCCAUGUGGCUCAUAUAAAUAUGCUCAAACCACUAAUUAAACUUGUGCACCAUAAUUAUAAAAAUCCUUUAAAUCACAAACGGAUUCAAAUAAUUAAGCACAUCAAAACACAUAUAUAACAAUUAAACCACAUCAGAAAAAUAAAACCAGUUUUAUUAUUAAUAGAUGCUGAACCCUAAUUAUUAAAAAUUAAGCCUUUAAUCAAUGAUUAAAAGCCGGGAUAUGACAUACUAUCCCCCUUAAAAGAAAUUUCGUCCCGAAAUUUGUACCUCAGGGAAUAAUUCUGGGUACUUCUCCUUCAUGCUAGACUCGAGUUCCCAAGUCGCCUCUUCUUGAUCAUGGUGCUUCCAAAGGACUUUUACUAAGGGUAUCGACUUAUUCCUUAGUACUUGAACUUUCUGAUCUAGAAUAGAUUCGGGCCUCUCUUCAUAGCUCAUAUCUGGGCUGAGGAUAACGUCGUCCCUUUGGAUCACGUGUUUUGGAUCAUAAACAUAUUUCCUCAACUGCGACACAUGAAACACAUUAUGGACAUUCCCAAGGCUUGGCGGCAACGCCAGCCUGUAAGCUACCGGGCCCAUCCUUUCUAGGAUCUCAUAAGGUCCUAUAAAACGGGGUCUAAGCUUACCCUUUACGCCAAAUCUUGUAAUCCCUUUGAGGGAGAAACCUUCAAAAAGACUUUAUCCCCACACUCAAACUGAAGUCGGUUCGACGUUUGUCGGCAUAAGAUUUUGUCUAUCUUGGGCCUCUUUAAUACGCUGUCGAAUCUGACGACGAUCUCAUCAUUCCUACUGUAUCUGGCCCCAAGAUUCUUCUUUCGCCCAUUCAUCCAGUAAAGCGGCGAUCUACAUUUCUUCCGUAUAACGCCUCAUAAGGGCAUGGCGAUAGUUCUUGAUAGUGUUGUUAAGCAAAUUGAUUAGUGGCAAACACGCUCCCAAUCUUCUCUCUAUCUAGCACGACAGUCCUUAACAUAUCUUCUAGCGUUUGAAUUGUCCUUUCGACUGACCGUCGGUCUGGGGUGGAAAGUGUGCUGAAAUUCAACCUUGUCCCCAAUUCCUUUUGCAAGCUUAUCCAGAAUCUGGAGGUAAACUUAGAGUCUCUGUCAGACGUGAUUGUCUUCGACACUCCAUGUAAACGCACGAUUUCCUUGAUGUAGAGUUGGGCUAACUUUUCUGAUUCAUACGUGAUAGGGAUAGGCAGAAAGUGUGCACUCUUCGUGAGUCUGUCAAUAAUGACCCAUAUCGUCGUAUUACCUCGUCUUGUCUUUGGCAGUCCUGUGACAAAAUCCAUUGCAAUAUCGUCCCACUUCCAUUCUGGAAUCUCCAAAGGUUGUAGCUCGCCGUAAGGUCGUUGGUGUAAAGCCUUUACUUGCUGGCAACCUAGACACUUUUCGACGAAUAAAGCUACGUCUCGUUUCAUUCCUUCCCACCAGAAAUUCUCUUUUAGAUCUUGAUACAUCUUAGUGCUUCCAGGGUGGGCGGCAUAAGGAGUGUCAUGGGCUUCGCUCAUGAUCUUGUUCUUGAGUUCAUCGUCAUGAGGGAUGCAUAUUCUUUUCUCAAAGAAAAUAGCAUUGUCGGCUUCUUCGUGGUAGUUCUUAAGAUUUCCUUCUCUUAUCUUCGCUCGUAAUUUCUCUAAUUUAUCAUCCUUCCUUUGAGCUUCUACCACCAUUUCCCUCAAAUUUGGCAUCGUCGCGACCAUUCCCGCUAUUGUAGCAGGUGGCUUUUUCACCUCUAUCCUCAUCCUAUCAAAAUCCCUUAUGAGCUUUUCUUCCUUUGUAAAGAUGUAUCCCAACUUCGAUGGGAUCUUGCGGCUCAAUGCGUCGGCUACUACAUUGGCCUUUCCCGGAUGAUAAUUUAUACCAGUCAUAGUCUUUUACUAAUUCAAGCCACCUUCGUUGUCUCAUGUUGAGAUCUUUUUGCUCGAAGAAGUACUUCAGACCUUUGUGAUCGGUGUAAAUCUCACACCUGACACCAUAUAGAUGAUGUCUCCAGAUUUUCAGUGCGUGCACUACCGCCGUUAGCUCUAGAUCAUGGGUCGGAUAAUUCAAUUCGUGUGGCCUAAGUUGCCGUGAUGCAUAUGCAAUCACUUUGCCUUCCUGCAUCAAAACGCAUCCUAGUCCAUUCUUUGAUGCAUCCGUGUAGACCACAUACUCCUUGUCUGGUUCUGGAAUUGCUAGCACUGGCGCCGUAGUUAGUUUCUCUUUGAGCAGCUGAAAACUUUCCUCACACUCGUUAGUCCAUGCGUAUUUAAUUCCCUUUCGGAGCAAUUGCGUCAUCGGCCUUGCUAUCUUAGAAAAUCCCUCAAUGAAUCUUCGAUAGUAGCCAGCCAAUCCCAAGAAACUUCUGAUCUCGUUUGGGGUAGUUGGCGACCUCCACCCUUGCACUGCUUCCACUUUGGCGGGGUCCACCUUGAUAUCUUCUGAAGACACAAUGUGUCCCAAAAAUGUAACUUUUUUUUUUUUAGCCAAAACUCACAUUUGCUGAAUUUGGCGUAAAUGCGUUCAUCCCUUAGCGUUUGCAACGCAGUUCUUAGAUGUUCCUUGUGUUCUUCUUCAUUCUUAGAGUAGAUGAGAAUAUCGUCAAUAAACACCAAGACGAACUUAUCCAAAUAAGGAUGAAAUACUCUGUUCAUGAGGUCCAUGAACACAGCCGGCGCAUUUGUUAGUCCGAACGGUACAACUACGAACUCGUAGUGACCAUAUCUUGUUCGGAAAGCCGUUUUGGGUAUAUCUUCAUGCCUAACCUUUAGCUGAUGAUACCCGGACUUCAAAUCGAUUUUGGAGAAAACACUCGCGCCCUUGAGUUGGUCGAAUAAAUCAUCGAUUCUUGGUAAUGGAUACUUGUUCUUGAGCGUUAGCUUGUUCAGCUCUCGGUAAUCAAUGCACAAUCUCAAGGUGCCAUCUUUCUUCUUGACAAAUAGCACCGACGCUCCCCAUGGGGACACACUAGGCCUAAUGAAGCCUAGGUCCAGCAACUCUUGUAAUUGGAUCUUCAACUCCUCCAAUUCCUUCGGAGCCAUUCUGUAUGGUGCCUUUGAUACUGGCGCUGAUCCUGGCUCUAGAUCGAUGGUGAAUUCUACUUGCCUGUCGGGUGGUAAACCUGGCAAAUUUUCUGGGAAAACAUCUUGAAAAUCCCGCACGGUCUCUACAUCUUCUAUUGUCCUUUCGGUCUCAACUCCCCCGUUCAGGUAUACGAGGAAGGCUUGGCAUCUUGACUGCAUUUUCUUAACUAAACGAUCCUAUGGUUAGCUCUAGGUUCGAGCAAGCAUGUGUUACUACUGCCGUCCCUCCUAUUGGUGAAGAAAUUCUCAAGUCCUGAUUAGUCUUUUCAGGUUGGAGCUUUAAGGUUUUUACACAUGCACUUGCAAUGAAAGAAUGUGAGGCAUCCGUGUCGAACAGGAGUAUAACAGGUGUGUCGCAUAACGUGCCCAUACCUGCCAAAUUCCCUUGGUUGUUUCCUUGCUUAUUCUUGAGCAGGGCAUAAGAUCUUGUUUGUGAAAUUGUGGUGGAUGUACCGCAGGUCGAUACUGUUGUUGUGGUGGUGGGUAGAGUAGUUGUUGGCCUUGGACAGCCCUGAGUGGUUGUGCUUGGCCCGACUGAUUCGGCCUUCUCAUUCCUCCUUGAGGUUUUCCUUGGCAUUCUCUGGCAAAAUGGCCCUUCUGGCCACACUUCAAGCAGAUAUUGCUGCCAGGCAAGCAUAUGCCGUGAUGUGACUUGGAGCAUUUGGGACAUAAAGGUACCCUGAGCUGGCCCUGAUUGUUUCCAGUUGGUCCUGGAUUGACUGGUCGUCCUUGCCAUUGCCCUUGUGGCACCAUGUUCCCUUGCCAUGGCCUCUUGUUAUCUUGGUUGUUGUAAUAAUCUCUAUUUUUAUUGUUGUUGCCUUCCCACUUUCUCUUUCCGCGAUCACUGUUCCCCGGAGCUUGAGUCUGGGUUGAGCUGUCUUCAGGCAUGGUUGCUUCAACAUCCAGGGCUCUGCUAAGUGCCUCAGAGUGGGUGAGAUUACCAUGACUAGUAAGUGCCAUCUUGAUCUCAUGCCUAAGGCCGGAGCAGAAAUUUUCUGACAUAUUUCAUCAGUAUCCACUUAUUGUAGGGUAUAACGAACAUGUCGCAGAUGCUACGGUCGUACUCAGUCUUGAUAUCUUGUUUUGCUUCAGGUUAAUCAUUUUCGUUUCUGUCCUAUAGCAGCUAUCAGAAAAAUAUAUAUAUAUCGUAUAUAUCUGCCUUAAGGUCAUUUCUAAGGCAAUUAUGCCAACCCUUGUUGAGUCAUCUCUUUUCGUUUUGCCUUCCACCAAAAUCUGCAGAUUCAGUCAACAGGAAUGCGACACAGGAAAUCGUUCUUGGCGGUACGAUGGGGGAAAGAAAACAUCAAGGGUCUUGUCCAUCACCUUAAUCCCAAGCUUACUAUCAAUUGAAUUCCCAAUUCUAAUCUAUAUACACGAGAUUUACUUGAGAAUAAGUUCCCUCGUCCUUUUGUGGCGGUUCAUUUGCUCCUACCUCAUUCUUAGGGCUCAUCUACGGGGCAUUCUAUUUUCCAAAGACCAAAAUGGUCAUCAACCCAUUUCUUGUUACCUAUAUGCAUAACACUUUCCUAUAAAUCUAUGUUAAAACUAUCAUAGACCAAAUAACUUAAGUCCUCGUACUCGAACACUAUAUUACGGUCUUAGCUUGAACUCUGAAUUUCUAUCAUAAUGAGCGGUCGAUAUCACUUAUAGGACAAAGACUAAUCUCAACUAAUUUAACACAAUGAGACACAAUUAUACGAUGUUAUAGUUUGGGUAGUAUACUACGUCAGUAGACUAACACUUCUUGGUCUUAUCAAUCAAGGGGAUCUAUUAUGACAACUCAAAAGUUGCAAGGCUCAAAAUAAACACAACAUUCAAAGCAAGGUGUUGUAGAAACUGUUUAAGAGAUUCAAAAGAAUGACCAGAGGUUAGGAAAUGGUUAACAACAAGGUCGAACAAAAUGACCUAAAGUAAGAACCCAUCUGGCUUUUUAACCGAAAGUUGAAACACAUGGGUUUUCAACCCAAAAGACGUCUACUGAGAUUUGGAUCAUGUGGACUGGCCAGGUCCAACAUCAUCACCUCCCAGUCACACGGGAAACAUCGUCCCGAACUUGGAGAGCCAUGGACAUAUUAUACAUGACGAAUCUUAAGUUCGUAAAAGCAACUAAAACUCAACUUAAGGUUCUAUGUCCUAUUGAACUAGACUCUUACUCCCCUAGGUCUACCUUCUUACAUAAGUGUACGUACAUAGCAUACCGAUAGUCGCACCAUAACUUCUAUACAACUUGUAGUCCCAAGGACAUGGGCAGUAGUCCAAAAGCAUGUAUAUUGAGCUAUAGCAGCUCCUAUGUUGCCAUCAAAAGCUAUCCUGAUAUCCUGAUAUGCCCUGGUGGUCUAUGUUGGGGUCAGACGCGGAGCCCUCCUAACUAUCGGAAUAGGUCUGGACGUAACCAUCUUUAGCAGAUAAGGGCAAAGGUGAGUCUUCUUAUACGUAAGCAUACGUAAAUCUCUUAAAGGUAAAAGGUUAUGAACAUACUAUGCAUAACAAAACAUAAGUUUCAUUAUGACAACUAAACUUAUCUUAAGGUUUUCUAUCUUAUUGAUCUCAAACCCCAAACCCCACUAAAACAUACACACACAUACAGACAAAACAUACUAUUCUUAAAAUCUAUCGUAUAGCAAAAGUCGAUUCGAUGUUCCGUCGCGUGUGAACACUCGAACGUAGAGACUAUGCUCAAACCCUUGAUGCAACAUUUGCCUCGGAUUCAUCUUGUUAUCGUCAUUCCGUGCUUUUCCUUCAACGCGUACAUAUCUUUUCAUUCCUCUUUCAUUCUUCUAAAUCAUCACUUUAAGAAUCUAGAUUGUAGAGAUAUCCUACUAAUCUAGUAGUCUAUGUUCUUUUAGAAUCGUGAUCAUGCCACUUAUAGCAAUCUAUGUUUUCUGGGGAAAGCAAGUGUAAAUUCUCUAUCAUUCCUCUUAUCAUAACAUCAUAACUGCAAAGAUAUGCCAUGAAAGGCAAAACAUUCAACAUUUCAUCAUAGCAUGCUCUUUACAUAAACAUAUUCAUAAAACAGCUUGAAACAAUAACAUCUUUAAAACGUUGAAACUGCAGUUACCUUUUUCCUUGAUUGAGCACGAUGCAAUGGAGUGUUGAGCGGUGUCGUAUGAACCCAUGUAAAUCUAGUGAAUUAAGCUAGAAUCGACUAUUUAGAAUGAGGUUUCUAGGGCCAGAGCAAACGAACUGCUCUGAUACCAUUCUGUCACAGCCCACUAUCCCAGUGACGGGUUAAUCGGGGUUAUGACUUGGGUGAACAAUAAGAAAAGGAAAUUAAAGGGGAUUUGCUAAGUAACCAACAUUAAUAACAACAACUAGUGAUAUAUAAACAACUGCUUGGAUAUUUUACAAACGAUUAUGCCAUAACGACCAGGCCCAAGGGAAAGUUAAACAAAGUGAAAGAGUAAUAAGUUCCAUAAUACGAUAACAAAUUCAGAGUGUUUGCAGCGGAAAAACGUGUGAGUUAUGCAUAUGGAGAUGCAUACUCAAGGUUUCAUUACGUAUCCAUCAAAAGAAUUCCCGCUCAACACCAAACCAUUCCAUCGCCUGCUCAACCUGCACAUUUAGAAAUAUAUGCAGGGCUGAGUAUAAAAAUACUCAGUGGCAUAAGCCGAAAAACAUCAUGCAUACAUAUAUAAAUUGAACUGCCAUAACAGUAACACACAGGGGUUUUCUUAAAUGACCUGCGCUUACUAAAACAUUUCUGUCAUUUUCAUAAAGUUGGAUGGCCAUCCCAUUUUCAGUCUAUAUGAUCCAUAUCUGUCCUUUCAGUCACGCGCCGGGAAGGAGGCCUCCUUACCACGGACGCCAAGACCGGUCGCAAGUGACUCGCGGUCUCCAUGAGUGUACACGUUAACCCUAGCUAGCGACCUUUGUCUAGCAUAGGAUCCCAAUUGGAUUUCCUUUAAAGUUGGCGAACCAACACAGAUAGGAUACAUAUAAAAACAUAAACAUUUUUGGCAGUCAAUCAUUUCAUAAACGUUUCAUUUUCAUAAACAUUCCAUUUUCAUUUCAUAAGAGCCAUUUAUCAUUUGAGCAUAAUAAUAAACUGAAAUUAACAGUUAAAAUCAUCUCAUGCAUAUAUUCGUAUAAGAGGCCUACGACACGCAGGGGGUCUCUAUAUACGUAGUAAAAGUAAUGCCCACCUUAAACGUUCUUAAAGAUGGCGUGGAGUCGCUUCUCCUUCGGCUUCACUUUCUGUCGCCCGAACCUUCAUUGAUGAAGAGUCGAUAAGUUCGUGAGGAAAUUGUCAUGAGACAAAGUCUAAUUCUACGUGCCUAAGGUAUCUUUUAGUGUUUUAGGGUUCUAGCAUCCAUAAUUCGUUCCAUUAAAGACAAUCAAAAACCAACAUAAUCUUGACUAGUCAUAACCUUACGGGAAAUCACAUAGCAACAAGAUAAAAAAAAUAAUAUCCUUAAACUUAAUAUCAUUUAGAAAUUCACAAGCUCACAUAAGAGAUAAAAAAAAAAAAAAACAUGCACCAUUAUUAAUUUAAAUAAAAGAACGAACUUCAUUUAAAAUAAUUAGUCCCAACUUUCAAUAUUAAAAAUUUAAAUCAAGAGAUUUAAAUUCACUAAAAUAACUUAGUGAAAACUCAAACAUUUUUAAAAGAAAUAAGGCCAAAAUUCGUAGGCUUUAUUAAUCAAUUGACAGCCCGAAAUUAAUUAAAAUGGCCCAACAGAAACUAAAAUAAAUUGUCCAGCAUUUAAAAUUUAGCCCACUGAUUUUAAUGCAAAAUUCGGCCCAAACAAAUUAAAUAAAAACCCACCAGAUUUUAAAAUAAAAGGGGCCAAUAACAUUUUAGUAAUUAAAAAUCGGCCCAUUCCUUCUUUUUCCUUUAAAAAUUUUCGGUCCAGCCCUUAGAGGCUUAAGCCCAAUUAAAAACAAAGCCCUAAUCCUAUAACACACACAUAACACACAAAUACACACACAAGCCUCAUUCUCUCUCUAUCUCUCAGCUCUCUCCCGGCUCUCUCUGCUCUCUCUCUGCUCGGUCGAGUGCGGCGCCGCCUCCGGCGCGCCGCCUCGCCGAGCACCUCCCUUCCCCCUCUCAUCUCUCUGACCUCCUCCGUCUGCCUCCCUCUUUCUCAGUUCUUUCUCCCUCGCCGGAAAGGUAGGUUCCAAUUCUUCCCCCUUUUCCUCUCUUUUCUAUUUUUAAACCCAGAUCUGAAAUUGCCCCCCCUUCUUUUCCUCUUUUCCGGCCGAUCAGGAACAGCCCGUUGCUCCCGCCGCCGUGUCGCCGCUGCCGGUGCCGCCGCGUCGUCGUCACCGGAGAAGAUGAGUCCUCCCUUCUCUCUCUCUCUCUUCCCUUUUUUUUAAAAACUUAAUCUCUCUCUCUCUCUUGGUCGUUUCAGACAGAAAAGGAAAAAGGCGGUGGCUUGCCGCCGCGCCGUCUCCGGCCGUGAGCAGCCGCUGGCUGCUCUCACUCCUCCCUCCGUCCCCGGUCACACACACACAGAGACACAAAGAGUCCAAAUUUUCAGUUUACACAGAACACUUAGGUUUUCAAAAUUUGUUCUUUCUAUUCUUGUCUAUUCUCAAAAUCAAAUCUUGUAAUUGUAAUAGGUUGAAAGUGAAGUGAUGAUGAGUGUGUGUGUUCGUUGCUGUUUCUUUCUUCUUCCUUUUUUUUUGUUUGAUGCAGAAUCAACAAAUGAUGUGGGGAGGUUUUGGAGUAACCUUGAUUUGGUGGUGAUGUUGGAAUCUGUGAAUUGUAAACAAAUAUAAGAAUGAGUUUUGCUUUCUUUGAAACUGGAACAAUUGAUGGAGGUUAAUCAAGUAAUCACCUUCUUGAUUUUGAAUCUUGGAAGUAGUCGAAACUGGAAAACUUGGGACUGAUCUUGGAGAUCUGGAAACAGCCGAGUCUUGAUGAUUGAAAUUUUGGAAUUUAUUUGGUAAUUUGGAAGCCAUCGAGAACUUAGAGUAGGAAUUGAGAGAGAUUGAUAAUGUAGAGAUUGGAGAGAGAAUCUAGAGAUUAGAGAGAAUGAGAGAUUAGAGAGAGA